rnacentral:rRNA from 1 species
CAAUUGAAGAGUUUGAUCCUGGCUCAGAUUGAACGCUGGCGGCAUGGCUAAAACAUGCAAGUCGAACGAUGAAAGCUUCUUCGGAAGUGCAUGAAGUGGCGAAAGGGCGAGGAAUACAUUCCUACGUACCCCGAGGUCGAGGAUAGCCCAGGGAAACUUGGAGUAAUACUCGAUGUGGUCUACGGAUCAAAGGCUUCGGCCGCCUUGGGAGCGGGGAAUGCCCUAUCAGGUAGUUGGUGAGGUAACGGCUCACCAAGCCUAAGACGGGUAGCGGGUGUGAGAGCAUGACCCGCCGCAUCGGGACUGAGACACUGCCCGGACUCCUACGGGAGGCUGCAGUAACGAAUAUUCCGCAAUGCGCGAAAGCGUGACG